CAAACCAAAGCUGGCGACCGGCGCACGGGUGAGUAACACGUAUCCAACCUGCCUCAUACUCGGGGAUAGUCUUUCGAAAGAAAGAUUAAUAUCCGAUAGCAUAUAUUUCCCGCAUGGGUUUUAUAUUAAAGAAAUUCGGUAUGAGAUGGGGAUGCGUUCCAUUAGUUUGUUGGGGGGGUAACGGCCCACCAAGACUACGAUGGAUAGGGGUUCUGAGAGGAAGGUCCCCCACAUUGGAACUGAGACACGGUCCAA
rnacentral:rRNA from 1 species